UGUAAUUGAUGGCACAUUAUUCUAGUCAAUUACUUUAUUAGGAAGACGAGCUUAAAAAUUCGUUAAAGGGCAUAUCUGUGAAACCUUUGGUGUCUGCUUCUUACGCCCAGUUUGGGGUGGAUGCUGAAGAUGAGAAUCCUGGGCAACUCGUAAUGGCAUACGAGAAAUCGACCCACGAUUCGUGGAGACCUAUUCUUGUGAUAAAUCUAUACGGACAACAACUGAUGAUUUAUUACGAAAUAGGAUAAAACCUGUAUUGUGGCGAAAGCUAUGUGCAGCGUAGCCUGUCUUGAGUGAAGAUAUUGGGAUAAAUGAUCUUGUUUGAAAUGAGCGGCCACUCAUCUCAAAUAUUGCAUUUUGAAAUUGUUUUUGCAAAAAAGGACUAAUAGUAAAGUGUUGGAGAGGAAAUCUCCUAGGGUGUACUUCAUUAUAGGAUUGCAGUGGGCACUAAGUGGUAAUCAAGUCGUAUUGAUCGGUGACGACAUAUUAAUUCUUUUAAAGGGGAACCGCAAGUUUGGUAACGAAUUUGUAAGAAUUAGGGAAAUCCUACUUGACCUAAGGCUCAAAGUUAACUAUUAUGAUAGCCAAACAAUUAU
rnacentral:sRNA from 1 species